rnacentral:tRNA from 1 species
GCAAGUGUAGUUUAAAAAAAAAACAUUAGUCUUGUAAACUUAAGAUGCCUAAUAGGCUGCUUGUA